rnacentral:lncRNA from 1 species
AGCUGCUAGAUUUGGAUGAACCUGUUCUUGGACCUGAAGACUUAACAUGGAAAAGAGGUUUAGAUCUCCACAGCCCAAGGGCAUUACGGGAGCACAGAGAAAUCAAUCAAUCCCAGAGCAGAAAGAGGUCUGGCGGAGGUACUUAGGACCCAGCAUUUAGUCCUGAUCCUUGUACCACAAAACCCUGGACAAGUUCCUUCUUAUCCCUAGGCCUUGCUUUCUGAUGUUUUUCUAAGAUAUUUUCCAAAUCUAGAAUUCUGUGACCCAGCCUCUCCCUCCCCGGACUACUCCCCUUGGCAAGACUUAGUUGGCAUGCUGGGUUCUGAUGCGCAUUUCCCCUCCCACUGCGAAAUCCCCAGAUCAGUACAAGAUCAGUCCCUUCCAGUUCAGAGCUCCUGCCCAGACCUGGAAGUGCCACCCUGUAAGAGAAACAAAAGCUUUUCCUCAGGCUGCUUUUGCGUGUGUUCACCUGUAUUUCCUUCUCGCCAUCCUGGCCCCCAGCGCUUUGAGGUUGCAGUUUCGAUGUGAGUCAAGUGUGCUGAGAGCAGUGGAAACCAGAGAGGCCUCAGCUCAGCGAGAGGACAUGAUGCUGCCUUUUCCUCAAGAGCGAGGCCGGGGGAUGGGGAGCGCGUGGGAGGGAGGUGACCACCUUCUGAAAGUGGAUUUUUUCGCAUUGACUGUAUCAGGGAGGAAAGAAUAUUACUGGAAAACCCUAGAGAGCACUUCACAUCUUGUUCUGAAGGAUCUUCACCUUCUCAAGAAAUGAUCCGCGCUGUGCUGUCAAAUGUUGGUACCAUUUUGAUGUGCUUUGAGGAGCAAGAAUUUUUUUGGUGGGGUUGGCUCGUGAUGUGGGACUCAGACAAUGUUUUCCUAGUGGAGGUGACCCUGAGGUGCUGGAUCCCCAUGACAGA